rnacentral:tRNA from 1 species
AUUUAUAUAAUAUAUUUAGUAUAUUUGACUUCCAAUCAUAAGGUUUAACCAUUAGUUAAUAUAAAUA